rnacentral:rRNA from 1 species
GGGAGCUUGCUCCCUGAGAUUAGCGGCGGACGGGUGAGUAACACGUGGGCAACCUGCCUAUAAGACUGGGAUAACUUCGGGAAACCGGAGCUAAUACCGGAUACGUUCUUUUCUCGCAUGAGAGAAGAUGGAAAGACGGUUUACGCUGUCACUUAUAGAUGGGCCCGCGGCGCAUUAGCUAGUUGGUGAGGUAAUGGCUCACCAAGGCGACGAUGCGUAGCCGACCUGAGAGGGUGAUCGGCCACACUGGGACUGAGACACGGCCCAGACUCCUACGGGAGGCAGCAGUAGGGAAUCUUCCGCAAUGGACGAAAGUCUGACGGAGCAACGCCGCGUGAACGAAGAAGGCCUUCGGGUCGUAAAGUUCUGUUGUUAGGGAAGAACAAGUACCAGAGUAACUGCUGGUACCUUGACGGUACCUAACCAGAAAGCCACGGCUAACUACGUGCCAGCAGCCGCGGUAAUACGUAGGUGGCAAGCGUUGUCCGGAAUUAUUGGGCGUAAAGCGCGCGCAGGUGGUUCCUUAAGUCUGAUGUGAAAGCCCACGGCUCAACCGUGGAGGGUCAUUGGAAACUGGGGAACUUGAGUGCAGAAGAGGAAAGUGGAAUUCCAAGUGUAGCGGUGAAAUGCGUAGAGAUUUGGAGG